UACGAGGGGUGCAAGCGUUGCUCGGAAUUAUUGGGCGUAAAGGGUAGGUAGGUGGUCUCAUUUGUCAGGGGUGAAAGCCUUGGGCUUAACCCAAGGAGUGCCCCUGAAACGGUGAGACUGGAGUCCUGGAGAGGGUCGUGGAAUUCCCGGUGUAGCGGUGAAAUGCGUAGAGAUCGGGAGGAACACCAGAGGCGAAGGCGGCGACCUGGACAGGUACUGACACUCAACUACGAAAGCGUGGGUAGCAAACGGG
rnacentral:rRNA from 1 species